rnacentral:rRNA from 1 species
AAAUUGAAGAGUUUGAUCAUGGCUCAGAUUGAACGCUGGCGGCAGGCCUAACACAUGCAAGUCGAGCGGAAACGAGUUGUCUGAACCUUCGGGGAACGAUAACGGCGUCGAGCGGCGGACGGGUGAGUAAUGCCUAGGAAAUUGCCCUGAUGUGGGGGAUAACCAUUGGAAACGAUGGCUAAUACCGCAUAACGCCUACGGGCCAAAGAGGGGGACCUUCGGGCCUCUCGCGUCAGGAUAUGCCUAGGUGGGAUUAGCUAGUUGGUGAGGUAAGGGCUCACCAAGGCGACGAUCCCUAGCUGGUCUGAGAGGAUGAUCAGCCACACUGGAACUGAGACACGGUCCAGACUCCUACGGGAGGCAGCAGUGGGGAAUAUUGCACAAUGGGCGCAAGCCUGAUGCAGCCAUGCCGCGUGUGUGAAGAAGGCCUUCGGGUUGUAAAGCACUUUCAGUCGUGAGGAAGGCAGUAUCGUUAAUAGCGGUAUUGUUUGACGUUAGCGACAGAAGAAGCACCGGCUAACUCCGUGCCAGCAGCCGCGGUAAUACGGAGGGUGCGAGCGUUAAUCGGAAUUACUGGGCGUAAAGCGCAUGCAGGUGGUUUGUUAAGUCAGAUGUGAAAGCCCGGGGCUCAACCUCGGAAUAGCAUUUGAAACUGGCAGACUAGAGUACUGUAGAGGGGGGUAGAAUUUCAGGUGUAGCGGUGAAAUGCGUAGAGAUCUGAAGGAAUACCGGUGGCGAAGGCGGCCCCCUGGACAGAUACUGACACUCAGAUGCGAAAGCGUGGGGAGCAAACAGGAUUAGAUACCCUGGUAGUCCACGCCGUAAACGAUGUCUACUUGGAGGUUGUGGCCUUGAGCCGUGGCUUUCGGAGCUAACGCGUUAAGUAGACCGCCUGGGGAGUACGGUCGCAAGAUUAAAACUCAAAUGAAUUGACGGGGGCCCGCACAAGCGGUGGAGCAUGUGGUUUAAUUCGAUGCAACGCGAAGAACCUUACCUACUCUUGACAUCCAGAGAACUUUUCAGAGAUGAAUUGGUGCCUUCGGGAACUCUGAGACAGGUGCUGCAUGGCUGUCGUCAGCUCGUGUUGUGAAAUGUUGGGUUAAGUCCCGCAACGAGCGCAACCCUUAUCCUUGUUUGCCAGCGAGUAAUGUCGGGAACUCCAGGGAGACUGCCGGUGAUAAACCGGAGGAAGGUGGGGACGACGUCAAGUCAUCAUGGCCCUUACGAGUAGGGCUACACACGUGCUACAAUGGCGCAUACAGAGGGCAGCCAACUUGCGAAAGUGAGCGAAUCCCAAAAAGUGCGUCGUAGUCCGGAUUGGAGUCUGCAACUCGACUCCAUGAAGUCGGAAUCGCUAGUAAUCGUGGAUCAGAAUGCCACGGUGAAUACGUUCCCGGGCCUUGUACACACCGCCCGUCACACCAUGGGAGUGGGCUGCAAAAGAAGUAGGUAGUUUAACCUUCGGGAGGACGCUUACCACUUUGUGGUUCAUGACUGGGGUGAAGUCGUAACAAGGUAGCGCUAGGGGAACCUGGCGCUGGAUCACCUCCUUAUACGAUGAU